ACGUAUGCUGAGAUUGACCUGAAAUCUACAAAGAAACAGAAGAAAAAGAAAAAAAACAAAGAGAAUAAACCUGAGAGUUCUGAGAGCUUUUACUCUGAACUCACACUGCAAACAGAUCGAGGUGCUGGAUCUUGUGAAGCGACUUAUGCUCAGGUUAAA